rnacentral:rRNA from 1 species
AUACGUAGGUGACAAGCGUUAUCCGGAUUUACUGGGCGUAAAGGGCGUGUAGGCGGUCUUGCAAGUCAGAAGUGAAAUUCCUGAGCUCAACUCGGGCGCUGCUUCUGAAACUGCAGGACUUGAGUGCUGGAGGGGAUAGCGGAAUUCCUAGUGGAGCGGUAAAAUGCGCAGGUAUUAGGAAGAACACCGGUGGCGAAGGCGGCUAUCUGGACAGUAACGGAGGCUGAGGCGCGAAAGCGUGGGGAGAAAAAAGGAUUAGAUACCCUGGUACUCCACGCCGUAAACGAUGAAUACUAGGUGUAGGGGGUAUCGACUCCCUCUGUGCCGCAGUUAACACAAUAAGUAUUCCGCCUGGGGAGUACGGCCGCAAGGUUGAAACUCAAAUGAAUUGACGGGG